rnacentral:rRNA from 1 species
GUGAGGAAUUUUCCGCAAUGGGCGAAAGCCUGACGGAGCAAUGCCGCGUGAAGGAUGAAGGCCUAUGGGUUGUAAACUUCUUUUCUCAGAAAAGAAUUAUGACGGUAUCUGAGGAAUAAGCAUCGGCUAACUCUGUGCCAGCAGCCGCGGUACGACAGAGGAUGCAAGCGUUAUCCGGAAUGAUUGGGCGUAAAGCGUCUGUAGGUUGUUUAAAAAGUAUUCUGUCAAAGAUUAGGGCUUAACCCUAGAUAGGCAGAAUAAACUUUUAAGCUAGAGUUUGGUAGAGGCAGAGGGAAUUCCCGGUGGAGCGGUGAAAUGCGUAGAUAUCGGGAGGAACACCAAAGGCGAAGGCACUCUGCUGGGCCAAUACUAACACUGAGAGACGAAAGCGAGGGGAGCAAAUGGGAUUAGAAACCCCAGUAGUCC